rnacentral:rRNA from 1 species
UACAGAGGUCUCAAGCGUUGUUCGGAUUCAUUGGGCGUAAAGGGUGCGUAGGCGGCGCGGUAAGUCGGGUGUGAAAUCUCGGAGCUUAACUCCGAAACUGCAUUCGAUACUGCGGUGCUCGAGGACUGGAGAGGAGACUGGAAUUCAUGGUGUAGCAGUGAAAUGCGUAGAGAUCAUGAGGAAGACCAGUGGCGAAGGCGGGUCUCUGGACAGUUACUGACACUGAGGCACGAAGGCCAGGGGAGCAAACGGG